rnacentral:lncRNA from 1 species
GCGCGCGCUUGGGUUAGGUGCAAACCCACGUGCCAGUUUGGCGGUUUGGAUCGAUUCUCUCGUGGUCAUGGCUUAUUAGAUUAGGUGCUCUGGUAUCUACGGUGUACUUGUCUGCGUCUCCUAGUAGUUUGUUUAUUUCCGAGGCCAGUGAGUAAAUUAAAUGAAUGAAGGCAGUGUUUUUUUUGGGUAUUUUAGUUUAUU